rfam:Myotis lucifugus cont2.21134, whole genome shotgun sequence.
GGUGGUUCUCGGGUGAUGCACCCCACAAUUGGGCUCCCUCCUCUCUGGUUCUGGAUGUGUCACCCAAGAACCACA